CGCAAUGGGCGAAAGCCUGACGGAGCGACGUCGCGUGGUAGAUGAAGUUCCUCGGAACGUAAAUACCUUUUAUGAGGGAGAAAAUUUUGAUAGUACCUCAUGAAUAAGGGGUUGCUAAACUCGUGCCAGCAGCAGCGGUAAUACGAGUGCCCCAAGCGUUAUCCGGAAUUACUGGGCGUAAAGCGUGCGUAGACGGCUGUGUUAGUCGUUCGUUAAAGCUCCCGGCUUAACCGGGAAAGUGCGAACGAAACGGCACAACUGGAGGCAGUGAGGGGUCUGUGGAACUCAUGGUGUAGGGGUGAAAUCCGUUGAUAUCAUGGGGAACACCAAAAGCGAAGGCAGCAGACUGGCACUGUACUGACGUUGGAGCACGAAAGCGU
rnacentral:rRNA from 1 species